ensembl:snoRNA
UUCAAGUGAUGUUUAUCUCACGAUGGUCUUCAGUCUCUGUGACUUUGACGACAUUGCCUCACGGCGACAGCUGAUGCAGUUUA